ACAAGCAUUUGGGUGCGGCCGUGGGCGCAAGCCUGCGGCUGUCAUUCCAUACCACAUCUACCUUGUGAACUGUGAACCGAGUGCCUGGGCUGCACUAGCCGGUUUGGCUAGGCGGCAGCCUAGGAACCCUUUUACAUUAACUGUCUUAAUGAACUGCCGCAGUAUGCGACACUAAAUUAAUA
rnacentral:misc_RNA from 1 species